UCCUUUUUGGGGAGUAUAAUUUUUUUUGAAAUUCAAUGGAUCUGGCGGUUUUUAAAUUUCUUAGAGGAACCUGUGAUUUAAAUGAUAAUCCACGAUUUUUUUUACCUUUAUUUUUUUGUAUAUCUCUGUCGUUGAAUAUGUUGUUAGGCUAUUUUCUUUACCAUUAUUUGGGUUAUGUUAGGUCAAGGUGCAGUUAUAUAAAGGUUAUCAUGGGUUACAUUAAUUUUUGUUUGGGGAUAAGGUCUUUGGAGCUUUUUGAAUUUGGAUUUAAAAGUAAUUUUUUUUUUUAAAAAAUUUGAAGUGAACUCUUAAAUAUGU
rnacentral:rRNA from 1 species